CAUCAAUGUAUACCAUAGGACAAACUAAACUUACUAGUAAAUUGUAACAAAAGGGGGUUGUGCAUAAAAAGUGUUGUGGUCUAAAGCAAUGUUCCCCAACCCAGUCCUUAUGGACCCCCAACAGUCCAGGUUUUGUUAGUCUCUCCAUUUUAAUAAAAAAAAGGGAAAUACAUAAAUCCUGGACUGUUCGUGGUCCAUGAGGACAG